GCAGUUUCCAACUGACUCAGUCUGGAUCUGAAAGGGAAGAAGGAAGGUAUGUAGCUGAGACUCCCUGAACAAACCACCUAUCAAGCAACUGGACAUUGAGGAUCAACUGUCUGAGGUUCUAUGAUCAGUAGAUCUCUGAGGAUUGAAAUAGAAACAACCAGGCAGAAGAGGAAUGAAUGAAAGUAGAGGAUACAUUGAAAACAGCAAAAAAAAAAAUAGCAGUUGACAUCAGCUGAGUCUGCUGCUGAAAGAAAAGGAGGCUUCAUGGAAGAUUUAUAUGCACCAGCCAUUUCUGAAACCAAUAGGCACCUUUGUUUGAUAUGUUUAAAGAAGUUCUAAAUAGAAAAGUCAUAUGGCUUACCUAGAGGAACUCCAAGGAAAGUAGAGUCAAAGGUAAAACAUUGAAGGGGAUUUUGACAGUCCAUUGAUUUCUCCCCAUUACCUGGGGGACAAGAUUGAUAUUUCCAAAUGUCAGUAACCCCUGGUUCCUCUCAAAUUGAGGUUAGAAUAUGCCUACAAACAAAAGGAGUCUACCAAUCUCCAAAACACUGGAGUCAACACUAAAACCUUCAAUGUUAAGCUCAAGAUAGAACCACACAAGGGGUUCUUUUUCAUUUUUUGUGUGUCUGAACCCUAUUGGAAAUCUAAUGGUCUAUGUAUUCUUUUUUAGAAGUAAAUGUUUUUAACUACAUUAAAUAAA